GAACAAAUAGCUUAAAUUUAAAGCGUAACACUGAAGAUGUUAUUAUAGAUUAAUUCUUUUGUUCC
rnacentral:tRNA from 1 species